rnacentral:rRNA from 1 species
CGGUAGAGGGGGCAACCCCUUGAGAGUGGCGAACGGGUGAGUAAUAUAUCGGAACGUGCCCAGUCGUGGGGGAUAACGUAGUGAAAAUUACGCUAAUACCGCAUACGAUCUAAGGAUGAAAGCGGGGGAUCGCAAGACCUCGCGCGACUGGAGCGGCCGAUACCAGAUUAGGUAGUUGGUAGGGUAAAGGCCUACCAAGCCAACGAUCUGUAGCUGGUCUGAGAGGACGACCAGCCACACUGGAACUGAGACACGGUCCAGACUCCUACGGGAGGCAGCAGUGGGGAAUUUUGGACAAUGGGCGAAAGCCUGAUCCAGCCAUUCCGCGUGCAGGAUGAAGGCCCUCGGGUUGUAAACUGCUUUUGUACAGAACGAAAAGGUCUCUAUUAAUACUAGGGGCUCAUGACGGUACUGUAAGAAUAAGCACCGGCUAACUACGUGCCAGCAGCCGCGGUAAUACGUAGGGUGCAAGCGUUAAUCGGAAUUACUGGGCGUAAAGCGUGCGC